UAUGAUAGGAACACUUACUGAAUUGAUAAAGAUAGCUCCGGAAUGGGGAUAUGAAAUUAAUGGAAGCACGAAUUGUGAAAGUUUUACGAAUGUCAUUGUGUUGUGUAAGAUAAUGUGUGACGGGGCAUUCCACGCGAAUUGUUUACAAGUAAUGCUUGAGGAUUCUUACACUAAAAUGUUGGUCAUUUAGUUGUGGAAAUGAGGUCGACGAGUGGAUUUGCCACUGCUUUGCAGUAUGUGGUUAUUGAGAUUAGUGGUUGACUAAGUGUUAGUCCCCGAUUUGUUAUAAGACUCUUUGAAUUAUUCGGAAAGGCUAAAAUUAUAAUGUCUUUGUAUAUGGCAUUGAGCUCAGAGGAGUUGGAUGAGACAAUGAAAUCAAAUGUUUGCACAUACACACACAAUGUGAUAGAGGAAAAGUGCAAUUUGCGAAAAAACAAAUGGUUAUAGAGUUUGAUGAGGUCGUCCCCAUAAGUGGAGUAAGAUGUACCAUGUGAAUGGUAAAGGUUCAAAAAGUAUCAGAGGAAGGUAAAACAAUGUCUUGUGCAAACUCGAGCCCGAGGUGAAAAGAAGUAACCUCUCUCAUUCAUACAUUGGGUAAAUUUCGAGGACGAAAUUUAUUUUAAGGGGGGUAGAGUGUGAGCCCCCGAAAAUUUUGUUUAAUUUUUAGAAUGUAAUUUUUCGCCAAUAAGAUUUUCGCAAGGUAAUUUAAGUGAAGGAAUUUAUUUUGGAAAUUAUUUUGGUAUCGAGAUUACGAUUUGGGCCUCAUGAUUUAAGUGUGGGCCAGAGUUCCUCGUUUUGGGCCUAAGAUGAAGUCAAGAAUUAAUUAAGGAAGUUUCAGACGAAAAGCGAAUGAAAGAAAAGUCCCGAGCCCAAAACCCGAAAGAAAUUAGCUAGGAGAGUUUCGUAAUUCGUCGCAAGGGCAAAAUUGGUAUUUCACGCACACAACUAUAAAUAGAAAAAAAUUGGAAGCCCUAGUCCCAUUUCUCCCUUGCAGCCGCGUCCUUCUCCUUCCCUCUCCCCCGACCUCUCGCUCUCUCUCUCUCGUUCUCCCUCUGCCAUCACCGGAGACUCCAUCUCCGGCCACCAUCUCACCACAUCACUUCCACCAGUCGACGCAACACCUGAACCCGACCAAAACCCACCCGGAAUCACCGACAUGCAUCGCCGGUAGCCUCCACACGCGACCACCAAAAGCUGCGACACCACUGCCCUUUCUCCUUCGUCGAUUUCCGACCAUCACCAUGCCACACUGACACCACCGUCCGACUCAGUGGACAAGGAAGAGCGAAACCCGUGAGCAUCAUCACUCGUCGAUGUCGGGAAACCGCCGUACCAGCAUCGUCGGAGGCCUCGGCCCUGCAUGCCCUCGUUCUCUACUCUCCAGCUCGGAUCGAGCUAAACAACCUCCGUAGCUGGAAUCAAGGCUUCACGAUGCAUCAAAGCCAUAGACCCUCAGCCUCCGAUUUCGGCCAGAGCCCCCGCACGCGUCUCACGCGCCACCGCUGGCACGUGAGCCAACCUAGCGUCACCGUGAGCACCACCAGCUUAUUCUCUUCGUUCGGUAAGCUGGAUUCUAUCCCUUCUUCUUAGUGAGGCUUCUACUUUGAUCUAGAUUGAGAACCCUAACUCGAUUUCUUAAUUUGAAAUCUGUGAGGAUUUUGGAAUAUGUGUUCUGGAGGUUUUGGAGGAAGGGAGGUCUGCAAAAUUGUAAGCCUUCGGAGAAGAGAAGUGCUGGGUCAGUUCCAUUUGUAUUGAGGAAAGGUGCCCAAAGCAAUUGUUGGAGCUGGAUUGCAGCAAUUGGAUUUAGCCCUCAGUUUGGAGAAGAAGAAAUGGACCCGAGCGUGUGCAUUUGGAAGUGGACAAAGUGUUGAAAGUCGAGAACGAACCCGAAUGUGGGCAAGCACUCCAAUUCCAGUGUGCAGGUUUCGAGCAUGUGGUCGGGAAGCGUACAGGGGAGGCACAUGGCACGGCUUGGCGCAUUUCUCUUUAGUUUUAUCAAAAGAAGGUUUUGGUCCUUAAUCGGAUUUUGUAGUAGCUAGUUUAUUUACUUUUUAUUUAUUUCCUACUCGUUUACAAAAAAAUUCCGGGAGACCCGUAACCCUGGGGCGCGUCUCCCAUACUUGUAGUUACUUAGUGAUCCGUUUUAUUUUCCAAAUUGGGCUCCGAUUGCAAGCCCAAAACUCUUAGCCCAUUUCGAAUUCCGCUUUUGACAAUGUGUUGUUAGGUUGCUAGAAUGAUUUGUCCAAGAAAGUGUUUUGUAAACCAACAACCUAAACUCAAAAGGCCUUGCGGUUUCGGGUUGAUGAGCUAUCGAGAUGCCAUUCGUGACAUGUCGAUUCCUCAUUGGCUCGGAGUCGCGGCGCUGUGGGA